rnacentral:rRNA from 1 species
AGACGAGGAGCUUGCUCCUCUGACGUUAACGGCGGACGGGUGAGUAACACGUGGAUAACCUACCUAUAAGACUGGGAUAACUUCGGGAAACCGGAGCUAAUACCGGAUAAUAUAUUGAACCGCAUGGUUCAAUAGUGAAAGACGGUUUUGCUGUCACUUAUAGAUGGAUCCGCGCCGCAUUAGCUAGUUGGUAAGGUAACGGCUUACCAAGGCAACGAUGCGUAGCCGACCUGAGAGGGUGAUCGGCCACACUGGAACUGAGACACGGUCCAGACUCCUACGGGAGGCAGCAGUAGGGAAUCUUCCGCAAUGGGCGAAAGCCUGACGGAGCGACGCCGCGUGAGUGAUGAAGGUCUUCGGAUCGUAAAACUCUGUUAUUAGGGAAGAACAAAUGUGUAAGUAACUAUGCACGUCUUGACGGUACCUAAUCAGAAAGCCACGGCUAACUACGUGCCAGCAGCCGCGGUAAUACGUAGGUGGCAAGCGUUAUCCGGAAUUAUUGGGCGUAAAGCGCGCGUAGGCGGUUUUUUAAGUCUGAUGUGAAAGCCCACGGCUCAACCGUGGAGGGUCAUUGGAAACUGGAAAACUUGAGUGCAGAAGAGGAAAGUGGAAUUCCAUGUGUAGCGGUGAAAUGCGCAGAGAUAUGGAGGAACACCAGUGGCGAAGGCGACUUUCUGGUCUGUAACUGACGCUGAUGUGCGAAAGCGUGGGGAUCAAACAGGAUUA